rnacentral:tRNA from 3 species
CGGGGUAUAGCGCAGUCCGGUAGCGCGCCUGCUUUGGGAGCAGGAUGUCAGGAGUUCGAAUC